GUAGAUUCUUUCUGCAGGAAGGGGAUGGGUUGGCAAAAGCCAAGCCAUCUUCUGUUAUAAAGCUACAGAGGGCAAAUCUUGACCCAAGGAGGCGAGCUGUCGGAAGUUGAUGGAAGGAACUUCCUGCCAUUAACCCCGGUAAAACCCGGAGCAGGUGGCCUCUGGAGGCCAGAGCUGGCCGGUUAGCACCCUCAGUGAGAGUAAAGGUUGGCCACCUGCCAGAAAUACCUCCAGGAAGGAAGAAAAUGGAACAGAUGGCCCCUGCUGUCCCUUUUUCAACUCUAAGAUACCAUGAUUUUAAGAUACUGGAACACGGGGACCAAGAACUUAUUCAGGAUUUAUGCAAGAUCGCACCCCACCUUCAUAAGAACUUUCCUAAGACAAAACACAAGAAUCACCACCCCAUCCACUCACAGUAAAACACAGAAGACUGUUCAAACACCAGGACGCCUCCUUAACCAUGGCCGGUUUCAAAACAUCCUGAAUGACUUAACCACUAGAAAUGAACCAAGAACAUUUUUGUAAACAGUAUUUUUUGGGAGGGUCUAUUUGUUGUUGUUCUAUUCCAUAAAGGAUUUAUGAUGGCUAAUUGGCUCUAGAUGUGUUUACAAUCCGUUUAUGAAGAACAGCAACACCUACAAUGGGCUGGUCUUAGAGUCGUGCCAAGAGUUAACACAAGGGAAGGACAAGGAUAAAAGGACUUGUCACGGUCAGAGGCCCAGAGGCCCAGAAAGCAGCCCCUUACUCUGAACCCAUCCCUCAGUCCUCACUCCCCUUCCAUCACCUUCUGUGGCUUAAGCCAGCAGCGCACAGUGAGUGCAUGAUGCUCACCUGGCAUUUAUCCACCAGGUAUCAGGACACCUGAGACAAAACCUUCAGGGUCACUGGCUUCACGUCUAAAAGGAGACAAGCAUGCAAGCUGUAUUGAGCUCAUGCUGGGCAGCACCACUUGCUUUUAAGAGCUUUCCUUCCUUAAAAUGUGCAAACGUGAGCUAUCAGAUUUCACAUUGCAGCUGAGCCUCAUUAUCUGACAAUGCUGUUUUAUUACAAGGACAUAACUCACAUUAGCAAUUCAUUAACAAGAUAGCGACAUAACAACUCUGAAAAAUUGUAUUUCUGAGCUUAUCAGAAUUGGGUUAGAUUAAUUUUUUUCAGUUUCCUCUUAAAAAUACCUAAGACUUUUCAAAUCAGUGCUAACUUUGAUUUUUUUUUUCUCUAAAUUUUAAACUAAGUCAAGUUUUCUAGCUUUUUUUUCAAACGACAGAAUAAUCUCAACUACUAUUUGGGUGUGUGCUGCUUCAAAAGAGAGGGAUAGCGACGCAACGCUACAAUUGAAAUUACAAAUGGGUGUUGCUUCUAACAAACAGCGCUUUUGGAGGAAAAGAAAACAAGAAUGCUCAGGAUGUUUUUUUCUGGCAGUGGCAGGAGGCUAGAUGGUGUGAGGGCGCUAGUUCUCUGAAAGAUCAUGUGAAAUACAUUUUAAAAUAUUCAUUCCUGGAGUUCCUGUCAUGGCUCAAUUAAGGAAUCCCACUAGGAACCAUGAGGUUUACGAAUCCCCCUAGGAACCAUGAGGUUUCGGGUUCCAUCCCUGGCCCUGCUCAGUGGGUUAAGGAUCUGCCCUUGCUGUGAGCUGUGGUGUAGGUCACAGAUGCGGCUCGGACCCUGGGGCUGUGGUCUGUAGCUCUAAUUGGACCCCUAGCCUAGGAACCUCCAUAUGCCGCUGGUGUGGCUCUAAAAAGAAAAAAAAAAAAAAAAUUCUAAAUGCUGGGGACCCAGACCUGCCACUUCAACCCCAAUUCCCUUCCUCCCACAUCCCAGCCCUGAGUCCCUCCUCUGAUACAGCAAUGCUAGGAAGAGUGACUGGGAUCUGCCCCCCGAACUGAAUAGAUUCUCAGCAUUGGUCUCCUUCCUCUGUUCCAAAGCCUUGAGGCUUCCCUGUAACUCUUAUCAAGAAUCACUCUGUGGGAAAAAAGCAGAUACCGAAACAUUACCAAAUGUCAUCUCCAGCGCGGCGAGAGCAGGGGCUCUUUCACAUUAAGUAUAAUUCUCCACCCUGCCCAAGUAGUUUUCUUUUUUUUAAUUUCUCAUUUACCACGUAAAGAGCAUAGUAAGAGUAAAGAGCAUUUACUAUGAUAAGAAAUUAAAUCAUUUUCAUGAAGAGAGAGAAGCACUUUAUGCCACAACAGACUCUUUUGAUGUCGUCCCAUAUUUACUGAAUCUCGCUGAUUCCUUCUCUCCUAUGGUACGGGUGAUUUGAUACUCAACUCCAUCACAGAUACAUCAACAAUACAUUUGAAUACACCCUCCCCCACCUACUGCAGCAUCUCCUUCUGUUCCUGGGCUGGCCCAUCAACACUCAGGCAACCCUGGUCACCACCAGUCUAGGGCUCCCCCCAGGCCACCAUCCCCCACUCCACCUCCUACACAGCCUCUUCUUUGCUCGCUAAUCCUACAGAUUAUUGCCAAACCCAGUCAACUCCAUUGCUAUUAACACCUGACCCUGUGUUCAGUACUACUUAAAAUACCAAUCAGCCUAGUGCAGGCUGCCCCUCUAUACACACACACACACACACACACACACACAACUGUGAGUUCAGACACCAGUCCACAGCCUUCUCUUUCACAACCAUCUGGUCAAUGACCACACUACGGUGAUUUCUGGAUUUUCACAGUGGUUCUGGACCUUCAUAUUAACAACCCUUACUGAGAACCUACUAUGCAUCAAAAACUUAAAUUCUGAAUUACUGCACCUCUUCCUUGGCCUCCUGCAACAAACUGCGAUGCAGAAAAGCAUCAAAAUAUAUGGGGUAUGGAUGAUUAACAGGGACCUACUGCCUAGCACAGGGAACUCUUCUCAGUAUUCUAGAUAACCUAUAUGGGGAAAGAAUCUGAAAAAGAUUGAGUAUGUGUAUGUGUAUAACUAGAUCAUUUUGCUGUAUAGCAGAAAUUAACACAACAUUGUAAAUCAACUAUACAUCAGUAAAAUUUUUUUAAAUGAAAAAAAUACAUGUGUUAAAAGUAAUGGAGUCCAGAUAAACUCUGUGGGAAAAGAAACAGGAAGAAAACAGAUGGGCUGGGCAGCCCAGAGCCUGCAGAGCAGUUUUCAAAGGGUUUCUUCCCUCCACUGCUUCUCUGGGCCUGAAGGAGCAGUUGGGUCCAGUGGAGUGGACGUACCGGCAUAAUUUCAAGAAUCAUUUUGGGAGAGCACACGAGGAACAUACAUUUGGCAAAAGAAGGACUCCCCAAAGCCAAGGUCAUUAGUCACCAGAAAAUGACACUUAGGAAAGUUAUGAAGUCCCCUGGAGAGGUUUUUAAAAAAUUGAUGAGAUUCUAAUCUCUCUGUCUGGUUGAGGUGGGGCCUGAACUCCCUAACAAAGCUAAAGUUCAAAGUCCUUUGGUAGCUGGAGAGUCAAGGAAAUUUAUACUAAUUCACCUGAAGCAGGGGAGGGGUGUGGAGGGGACAGGGCAGGAUCCCAAGAUAUUCCCCCUUUCCCCUACUGAACCAAGGUCCCCCGUAUGGAAAACAGUGCCCUUGGCCUUGGCGCCUGCCAGCCCUGGCCACCAUGCAAUGAUAGCCAGCAGGUGCAGCCACACCAGCUCACAAAGUGCCAGCUACCUGAAGGAAUGCCUCACACCCAUCUCAGAAAAAGAUGCCCGGGGCCUCCCUUCACUACUCCUCAGUAAGUAUAUAGUCAAAGCUAUCUAGCUAUCUAACAUCUAAAAUGCAUUCUAUCAGCCCAAAUAACUGGUCCUCUUAAUGUCUACUUCUAAGCACCAGAACAAAGAUUUCAAACAAGUAGUUAAAAUUUAUCAGAAACAUAAAAGACUGUGGCACAGGCCGGCAGAGCAAACCACAGGUAAACGGAUGUCUUGAUUCCAGAAUGAAAAGGUACCAUCCCCUCACACAGAGUGCUGUGUUAUUCAGCUCUUUACAUUGAAAUCAUCAUCAAAUCCUUUUAACCAGCAAAUAAUGAAGCAUUAUAAAACCUACAAGAAAACUCGUCUUCCUUCCGAGGAAGGAAGGAAAUGACUUAACAUUUCUACUCAAUAUUCAGUAUCAGAAAGAGACUUAUGCAGAUAAACUGCAUAGAAAGAAAUUGCUAUCCCAGUAAAGCUUCACUUCUCACUAUACAAUUUAAAAGAACUAUUUCACAGAUGCCCGCCCCCCUUUUUUUCCUUAGAGAAAACCAGGUCACAACUUUCGGUGUUCAUACAUUUUAAAUUCAUUCAUUUUCUUCCCCCAUCCCCCAAGCAACAUCUCCAUUGAAGAAAUUCAAUCAGGCCCAUUUAGACUUGCUCCUCAAUAAAAGGUUACAACCCUAAGGUUUGAACAAAAUCCUUCCAGAAAGAAGAAAACUAGGUCAGUUACAUUAGAGAUGAAUUGCUAAUUCAAGAAUCUCAAGGUAAUGUCAAACUAUUAUGACUCUGGAUCAAUCUGCAGAAAACUAAAACUAAAAGGCCCCAGGAAGGUCAAAUGUCCUCUCCCUCUAAGAAAAAAAGUCUUACCAGGUGGCAUUAAUUCCUUAAAUGCAAGACGUCUCAUUCAGGCGAAUACACUAAACAUUAAAGGUGAGAUAAAGCUGGAAAACUCAAGGGCACAGGCAGCUCUGAAGAGAAUGCGGAAGUGGUGGCCGCCACCAAGGGUAACUUUCCACUGCCAGGCGACAGGGCAAAGGAGAGCGGCUUUAACUCACCUUCCAGCCAAGUGCAGCCCAGGUGUGCGCAUGUCUGAGGAGCCCUGCCCUGGUCCCAUCUCAUGUCCCAUCGCAGGUGCCUCAGGAACACCAGCUGUCAGGAUCCCUCCGCCUUGGGUAAAUGCUUGGAGGUACACCCUGUCUUAGAAUAAACCUUGUCAUGUCCUCUUUUCCCUGUGCAAACGCUCCUCUUCUGCCACUUUCUGUUUAUGCAAAGAUACAGCUGGACGGAGGAGGUUUCGCAGAAAGCACCUGCAUCAUUUGACUCAGGACAGACGCCAGUCUCCUUAUAUGUGUGAGACCCUCAGGAGAGCAUCUAGUCAAGGGGCAUUUCAAUGCUCACCAGCUUCUCACAGCCAUCAGAUAGCGAGAUCUUCAAAUACCCAAAAUGUGGAUGCACCUUUCUUCUAAGAAAGAACUAACAAUCCACGGCACACUGGCCUACUCUCACAAAAAGUAUAAAAUUAAGUUGAUGUUGUGGGCUGAAUUGUGUGUGGUCCUGCUCCAGCUCCAGCCCCACCCCCAAAUUCCAAUGUUGAAGCCCUAACUCCCUGCCCCUAGGGGUGUGACUCUAUUUGGAGAUAAGGCCUUCAAAGACCUGACUAAGUCACGUUGAGGCCAUGAGGGGUGGCCCGACUCCAAUCUCACUGGUGUCCUUUUAAGAGGAGACGUGGACAUGGAAAGACACCAGGGACACACAGAAGAAGGACCACGUGUGGACAAAGGGGGACAGACGGGCAUCUGCACAAGCCAAGGAGGAAGGCCUCCCGAGAAUCAACCCUGGUGGCACCAUAAACUUGAACUUCUAGCCUCCAGAACUGUGAGGAAUCAACUGCUGUUGUUGAAACCAUCCAGUUCGUAGUAUUUUGUUAUGGCAGCCUGAGCAAACUAAAAGAGCAGGAAAGAGAAAACAGAAGUGACCAAUUACUUAACAAGUGAGAUAGAAGUAUAAGACUUCUUUCUAGAGUGAUCAAAACAGUCUUCAGAUGUGUGAUGGGGCCCUGGGGACACAACAGCCUGACCCACAAACCACAUUCCCAGCCUGAUCCCUCUCACAGUGCUUGGCCAGAGGGCAGCAUCCUCGCUCUGUGACUGCAGAGAGAUCUGCCAGGUGAGGUGGGCCUGGGAGGAUGGGUAAGAUUUGCUGGCAGAGAAGACAAGGGACAGCAAAGAGAGGCCACAUGCAUCCAGAGGACAUUCAAACCCCAACUGAGAAAAAAACAACAAAAAACCUGAACAAUGGACAAGAGGAAUCAACCCCACAAGAUCAAAUCAGCAAAUACACAUGAAAUAUUGGCCCAUCUCCCUCAUCACCAUAUUCAAAUUAAAAUAUAUGAUUUAAUUUCCCUUAAAUAGGGAAAACUCAACAUUUAAAUGUUCAGUCUGUGUAUACAAACAUGAGCACAUUUAGAAAAUGGUAAUUCAUAGACAGGGGCACUGCUGCUUAGGGGGAGAGAGAAGUGACCUGGCCAAGGUCACAGGGUGGGAGAGGCAGAGGUCAGGCAGAAACUCAGGUCUUUCUAGAACAGUGCUUCUCAACUGGGGUGACUACCGUCAAAAGGACAUUUGGCAGCGUGCAGGAGUUUUUGGCUGCCACCAUGUGGGGAUCUGCCACUGCUAUCUAUUGGGUAGAAGCCAGAGAUGUGACAAACAUCCCACAACUCACAGGUCAGCCAGCCCAACAGUCAACAGUGUCGCCCUAGGGAAACCCUGUUCUAGAAACCACAUUCUUGCAACCUUUCUGAAAUAAUUUAUUUUUUUUUUAAUUACCAAAACAGGAGUUCCCAUUGUGGUUCAGUGGGCUAAGAACAAAACACAGUGUCCAUGAGGAG
rnacentral:lncRNA from 1 species